AUGUUUUCCAGACUGUUGUAAUGAAUGGAUUGGUAAAUAAAAAAAAUAAAAAAAAAAAUAAAAAAAAUCUGUUCUUAUCAGUUUAAUAUCUGAUACGUCCUCCUCCGGGGACUACAUAUUAAAUGGAUUUUUAGAUCACGGAGCUGGAGCCGGGGCUUGCUCCGUCCACUCCAUGCAUCAGCCUGGUAUUGCAGUGUCUCCAGGAACGGUGUGCUUUCC
ensembl:snRNA U2 U2 spliceosomal RNA